UAACCUGCCCAAGAGAUCGGGAUAACACCUGGAAACAGAUGCUAAUACCGGAUAACAACAGAUGAUGCCUAUCAACUGUCUAAAAGAUGGUUCUGCUAUCACUCUUGGAUGGACCUGCGGUGCAUUAGCUAGUUGGUAGGGUAACGGCCUACCAAGGCGAUGAUGCAUAGCCGAGUUGAGAGACUGAUCGGCCACAUUGGGACUGAGACACGGCCCAAACUCCUACGGGAGGCAGCAGCC
rnacentral:rRNA from 1 species